AGGAAUGACUCUGAGUUGGACUAGAUCUCUUCAUGCUUACCCAAGCUAUCUUACCUAUCAGCAUAACUGAGAAUUCAACAAGGAGGUAAAGAGGAACAAUGGGGAUCUCUGGUUUUACUAUAUAAAUCUAUCAGCCAGUCAAAUUCUUACAUGUCUAUUUUAAGUAUGGGAGAGGCUCCAAAGAGAAGGGUUAAGACUAAAGCUGUUUGCUUGUAAAGCUGCAUUGAUUUGGGAUUCUUUCUGG
rnacentral:lncRNA from 10 species